GGGAAUGUGGCUCAGUGGUAGAGUGCUUGCCUGGCAUGCAUGAAGCCCUGGGUUCCAUUCCUC
rnacentral:tRNA from 1 species